ACCAAAGGUCCUCUCUCCGCGGUGGCGAGCGUUGCUCCGGCCGGGUUUGAGCGACGCGCUUGGCCGUGCUUCCUGUGUCCACUUCCGCUCCGUGGAGGCGCCCAGGCUGCGGUAGGAGCCGCUGAAGGUCCGGCGUCUCCGCUUCUUCAGCCCGGGGCCCCGUCUCUGAAGAGAGGAAUCACCAAACUCAAUGGCCGGGAUUUUGCGCUCAGUAGUUCUGGGGCCCCCAGGCAGCCUACAGACUGUGACAAAAGGCGUGGAGUCUCUCAUUUGUACAAAUUGGAUUCGUCACAAAUUUACCAGGUCAAGAAUUCCAGAUAAAGUGUUUCAGCCUUCACCUGCAGAUCAUGAAAAAUACGGCGGCGAUCCACAAAACCCUCACAAACUGCAUGUUGUUACCAGGAUAAAAAGUACAAAAAGACGUCCAUAUUGGGAAAAAGAUACAAUAAAGAUGCUUGGAUUAGAAAAAGCACAUACUCCUCAAGUUCACAAGAAUAUCCCUUCAGUGAAUGCAAAACUAAAAGUGGUUAAACAUUUGAUCAGAAUCCAGCCACUGAAGUUGCCGCAAGGACUGCCAGCAGAGGAAGACAUGUCGGACACGUGCCUCAAGAGCACUGGGGAGCUAGUCACGCGGUGGAACCUGAAGCUUGCGGAGCAGGAGGGAAGGAAGGCCUAAUGCCAGAGCAGUCCCAGAUUUUACAAAAUGUAAAUCAUUUUUAUUUAAAGAUGACUAGGAAGUGUUUUCAUUAAAGUAUAUUUUAAAUACCAUUGAUUUUCACAGACUAAACACAGGAUCGUUCUUCCUUAUAGACUUAGGGGUUUUAGCGCUAGUAUUUGGUUUAAUUCUCUCCCUUUUGCCUUAAUAGUUUUGCUCCAGAAUGGGUAAGAAUGACAAUUAUUUGAAUAUCUAGAUUCAGGCCCACUGCCACCUGAAGCAGUUGUCAUUCUUGGUGGUGGUGUUGGUUGACUUUGAGAAGGCUCUAACCCAUGGCGACCUUAUGUAUAACAGAAGGAAACGUUGCCCAGUCCUGUGCCAUCUUCAUGACCGUUGGUAUCCAUUUGAGUCCAUUGUUGGAUCGUUUGAGUCCACUGUUGCAUCAGUCCAUCUCAUUUAGGGUUUCCCUUGUUUUUCGCUGACCCUCUACCAAUCAUGUUAGCAUUUGAAAAAGAUUGUUUUCUCAUUUAAUUUAAUUGAAUUCAGUAAGCACCUUGGAGAAAACCCUCAGGCAAGUUGAAGAGACAACCUGAUCACAAAAUUACCGUGCUCAUCCAGGCUAGUUCUCAUCCUAUCACUCCAUCUUUAGAGGAGAAAGGCCUUGGGGCCUUGCGAUGUUCCACUUUGAUACUGGUCAAGAAGCCUCUCCAACUGAAAAAGAGAAAAGACAAGCUUCUCAGCCACAGUGGAUAAAACCAGGCCCAGUAGGGCUGUACUGGGAGUGGACAGAGGCCACCCAGAGCUGACUACAAGUUGAGCAAUGGCAGGAAAUGAACUGAGGAACGUGAGCAGGAGUUGUACCCCAAGAGACUCCAGCCGUGGAACACGAUGUCCCAGAGGCACAGUGCAAAAAGGAGAGUCUGGAGGGAAGGAGCUCGCCACAAAGCAGCUUCUGAGCUGAGUUUACAUUUUAGGCAAAAAGAGGUAGUAGAUGAAUACGGAGUUCUUUUAAGGGCCAAGAGUCCCAGGAGAUAAUGAAGCCUGAGGAGUCCCCUGUUCCACAGGCACAAUCAGGAGAUGUCCUUAGGGCCAGCGAGCUGAGAAUCUUCCAAAGGCUACACAGACUGAGUAGAGACUUCAGUGGUCGAGCAGUGCCGUCCACCACAAAGGAUGUUGGUUGCACGAGAUCCAGGACGGCAAUGCCUUUGGCAGCAGCUUACUGCUGAGUUAAAGCUUAAACUUGAAGUAGAGUUGCAGAGCCAGCCGCCACCAGCAUGGGCCAAGGAUGCCUGGGGUCUCAGACUGCCCUUACCACUGCCCUGGGCACCUUCUUCUGGAACGUGUCCCUUCAGCCAGAAGAGGCUUCUCCAUCCCUUCCUAAGAGUAAAAAUUUAAAGGAAAAAAAAUCGUUUCAAGUGGAGAUGAGUUACUCAUUUUGACAUCGGCAUUCUCCAAAGAGAACGGUCUCUUGCUUGUAAGCAAGGAUAUUCUUCAGAUACAUUUGAUCCUUCCAACAAGAGUGGUGUCUUCUGUCAGUGCCACGUUUGAGAUAGGUUUCGGUAUAUCAAGAGGUUGGGCUUAGAGAAAGGAGGGGGUCAGCUCCAGCCCUUACUGGGUGUCUGGACCCGAGUCCCUGGAGGGUUAUGGACGGAGGUGGGCCCUGGCACUGCAGGGCUGUGGUGAGGAAUGGUGUUGAGAAGGAGUGUACUCAGGCUCAGCCAGGGAUUACAGUGCCCCAGGCAAGGAGUGGGUACAGGGACUGGCCUGACCCCAGUGUGGCACAAGACCAUCAGCCAUAAAUGCCAGAAAACUAAUUUUUUGUUUCUGCAAAAACUGAGGUUCUUGAAGGGGUAGGGGAAGAAGAGGCCUGGGCGUCGUGCCUGUCUUGUUCCCAGCAUCUCUCUCCUUGGCCCUUCAGGCUGGGGUGAGGACUACUUGUCCUGUGACCUUGGCCUGGCUUCCCACUGGCUGCUGCCUCUUACCCUCCUCAGCUGUCAAGCAGGUAAUGCCCACCUCAGAAUUGACUGGUGGAAGGAGAUGGAAGCUCUACAGAAAAAGGUAUUUUAAAAGCUUUGUUCUUUCUAUUUCUGCAUUCUCAACAGCUAAGCAUUUCAGUCAUUCACCUUGGGAUAGAAUCUCCUAGCUUCACUCUGAAUGAACAGAAUUACAAUUUGACUACAUUUAGCAUUGCUGUAUUUCAGAACGAGAGGCGAGAUGACCGUUUUUUGAUCAUACCUCUUCCUUUGUGUGUGUGUAAUUGCAGAGACCAUCUGGACCUUCCCUUGCCUCUUUUUUUUUUUUUUUUUUUUUUUAAUGCUUCAGGUGAAGGUUUACAGAGCAAAUUAGUUUCUCGUUAAACUAAUACACGUAUUGUUCUGUGACAUUGGUUGCCAACCCCACGAUGUGUCAACACUCUCCCCUUCUCGACCUUGGGUUCCCAAUUUCCAUUCAUCCAGCUUUCCUGUCCCCUCCUGCCUUCUCACUCUUGUCUCUGGGCUGAUGUGCCCAUUUAGUCUCGUAUAAAUGUUUGAGCUACGUGUAUUAUUGUGUUUUGUGGGCUGGUUUUAUCUUUGGUUCAAGGGUGAACCUCAGGAGUGACUUCAGUACUGAGUUAAAAGGGUGUCCAGGGGCCAUACUCCCGGGUUUCUCCAGUCUCCGUCAGUCCAGUAAAUCUGUUUUUUGUGUGUGAGUUUGAAUUUUGCUCUACAUUCUCUCCACCUCUGACCGGGAGAUCAUCUGUCUUUCACGUUAUAGAGCUCCAGCUACUGCGCCAUUGGAGUGGUGUCCACAUGAGCCUCUUGGCACCAUCGACACCUGCAUGAUAUACGGCAUCCCUUCCUGUAAAGCACAGAAGACAAGGCGGCCAUCCAGGUGGCAAUGCCGCAGGACCACCUCUGACUUUGGGGUGGGAAAUUUUUGCCAGACGGCAUUAAUCCUGUCAACCAGAAUCCCGCUGUCUUGAUGAGUGUGUGUCUGAAUGUUCCAGUCUCCAGAGAGUUUGUUGUGUUUGUCAGCUCAAGAAAUUCAGACAAGAGGACUGAUGAUUCCCCAAGGAGAAUUCAACCCUUCCAAUAGAGUGGACCCUAAAUUCAAGGUUCCUGUGGGAUGUUAAAUUAAGUGUUUUUCAUUGUAUUUAUUUAAAUUCUGUGUAGUCUACAGUCAUGCUCGCUCUUUGCUUGCCCCUGAAGUUAAGUAAGUUCUGUCUUUGUCUUGCUCAGUCCCCAGGUUUCACAGACUAUUACUUUUGGCCUUGUCAGAGUUGUCCCGCGACACCUUGUCUUCAUAUCCACAUCUCAUUUACUGCUUUCUCGUUACCUUUGCUUCAGCGAUAUCGGCGUCCCCGGUGAGGGUCUAGCUGCCCCUAGCAGGGGCGAUGCUUUCAUGAAGCAGUGGUCUGUAUUUACAGUCGUAAUUUGCUGAGACUGUCUAAAUGCAGGGCCUUCAUUUAGUACAGCUGUACUAAGCUGACUUCUCUGUAGGUGGAACGUGUGGUGGAAGUCCUCAAGGCCCUUGACAAAAAGAUCUCCCCCAUCACUCUGCCAAGGCUCUGACCUGCUACUAUUAGAAAUGCAGUCAUUUAAAUUAAAGCCCUAAGUGUUCAGGAGCCCCCACCCCCAUCCCACUCCCAUGAAGGGGCAACUGUUGAGAGUUCCCUCUGAGUCAUAAAUUACCUGAGUUCCUCAGGUUAUUUCAGUGUGGAGGGGAAAGGAAGGAGGAAGUUGAGGGCCCUCGGGGAACAACAUCCUAGAGGGAGCACACAGGUGGUUAGUGCCCUGGGACGAAGCCAGGAUUGGGUACAACAAAUGCACAAGUGCGGGGCAGAGACCCUGAAACGGGACCUGGAAGGGCAUCUUUCGCCCACCUUAAAUUUUACAGCAGAGUGUGGGUGGGUAUCAUUUUCAUGCUAUAAAAUAAAUAAAUCCUUAAUCUCUUAUGUU